rnacentral:rRNA from 1 species
AAUUACCCAAUCCUGACACAGGGAGGUAGUGACAAGAAAUAACAAUACAGGGCUUAAAGUCUUGUAAUUGGAAUGAUGGGAAUCUAAACCCUUCCCAGAGUAUCAAUUGGAGGGCAAGUCUGGUGCCAGCAGCCGCGGUAAUUCCAGCUCCAAUAGCGUAUAUUAAAGUUGUUGCAGUUAAGAAGCUCGUAGUUGAAUUUCUGCCUUGUCAUUAAUCUCGCUUCCGAGCGUUUUUUUAUUGACAUGGCAUCUUCUGGAUUUGGUGCCUUCGUGUACUAUUUUCCAGGAUUUACUUUGAGAAAACUAGAGUGUUUCAAACAGGCAUUCGCCUUGAAUACUACAGCAUGGAAUAAUGAAGUAGGACUUUGGUUCUAUUUUGUUGGUUAUUGAGCCAGAGUAAUGGUUAAUAGGAGCAGUUGGGGGCAUUCGUAUUUAA